AGUUUCAUUAUUGUUGGGGGAUUGAUGUAACCACUAAACUCUUAUGUAAAGCAUGUUGUUUUGAAUGAAUAUAUACCUCUUUCAUUGAUUGUUAGUGUUUAAUUCCUUUUCUUAAUGCUUGUUGUGAAGUUGCUACUCAUGACAUGAUUUAGGGUUUCUUGAUAUUGGGAAAUAUUGGGUAAACCUUGACUUGGGUUAAACACCUAAAGGAAAUAGUAUCUAGGGAUAGAACUAGGACCUUUGGAUGUCUUAAAAUCUCAUUUCUUAAUGCGGAAUUAAUCAUUAGGUUUUCCAAGGGAUUGGAGUCUAAU
rnacentral:lncRNA from 1 species